UUCUUUUUUUAAGUGUUUGUAGCCAGUUAGUGUUUGUCAAGCUGUUUAUGAGUGUGCACUAUUCCUAUAAUAAAGCAGCGACAAGACUAUUUACACAUGGAUCGGGCUUUUGUAGCUGUUUUGAUGUUUUGCCUCGUAUACGAGUAAACUGCGACAAGGAUUAUCCAUGCCUGGAGACGAAGGAAAACUGUCCGCCUGGGAUGACCUGCUUCGGCCCAAACGUGUUCUGUGAAGGGGCCACCGGUAUCCCAUACUGCACCAACUGCAUCGUGGGCUACAUGGGCGAUGGAUGUAAUGGAGACGUGGAUGAAUGUACAGAGUACUUUGAGGACGUCUGCAACAACAUCGGGGACUGUACGAAUACCAUUUGCGGCUUUUAUUGUAGUUGUUUCGAGGGAUUUAUUGGUACAGUACCAUAUUGGAAAAAAGUCUUCUUGGUCCUACUAAAACAUACUGAGUUAUAUUUAACCUUAUAAAUUUAAAGCAGUUGUAGCGGUAUUUCACAUUCAACUUUUGAACAUCAAGCUCAAAGUAUGUUCAUUUAAUGUUCUACCUUGCAGUCCAUUGUUUAUGCCCAUACAUUUGUUGUUGUUUAAUAUCAUUUAUAUGCCGUAUCUAACGCUGCAAAUUUAAUGUUUGUAUUUAUUGCAGUAUAUUUCUAUCUAUAUCUUCUAUAUAUUCUUUUUUGG